UACGUAGGGGGCAAGCGUUGUCCGGAAUCAUUGGGCGUAAAGCGCAUGUAGGCGGCCCGAUAAGUCCGCUGUGAAAGUCCAGGGCUCAACCCUGGGAUGCCGGUGGAUACUGUCGGGCUCGAGUCCGGAAGAGGCGAGUGGAAUUCCCGGUGUAGCGGUGAAAUGCGCAGAUAUCAGGAGGAACACCAAUGGCGAAGGCAGCUCGCUGGGACGUGACUGACGCUGAGACGCGAAAGCGUGGGGAGCAAACAGG
rnacentral:rRNA from 1 species